AGAUGAAGAUAUCCUACAGGAAUGCUCUACAAUAAUAACUGCACAAGAGACUGAUGUGAUGUCACAUUUAAUCCUACAGAGGCUGAAACAUCAACAACAGAGCAAAAAGACUUGUCGUCUCAAGCAUCCAGCCCUAUUCAGAAAAUCUUUAAAUAUAUUGUCUAUGAGACAUGUAUCAUGGAACUGUUUGAGAUGUGCCCGGUAUGUCAUAGAAGCUGUCAUACAAGAUCACAAAGGAUUGGAACUUUUCUACGUGUUGAACAACUCUGCCACCAUUGUCAGUUCACACGUAAAUGGAACAGUCAGCCGAUUUUGGGCAGUACUCCAGCUGGAAACCUUCACCUUUCUGCUGCUGUGUAUCUCAGUGGUGCUUCAUUUGUGACAAUUGAAAAGAUAUUUGCAGCUAUGAAGUUACAUCUUUUCAAGUACGACACCUUUCGUCGCUAUGCACGAAUGUGCAUUGAGCCUGCUAUUGUUCACAAAUGGAGAAACUGGCAGGAUGAGAUGCUACAGCAGUUAGCUCAAAGGGAAAAGGUCAUUGUUGGAGGAGAUAUGAGGGCUGACUCA